CUGUAUAAUCAUUGUGAAUUCUGUUAUAUAAUGAAGCAAUGUAAGCACCAGAAGAACAUAGUUUAAAGAAUUUUCGAGAUAGUUUAAAAAACUAAAUAAAUCUAACAAAAUUUUAUAGUAAAAGAAUUAUAAAAGAUUUAUAAAAUAAUAAAAAAUAAAAUUGAUCAAAUCCGGAAGUGUGUUGGACACUGUCCUAAGAUAUAUUUUCAUUCUUUUUUUAUGAAUUGGG
rnacentral:lncRNA from 1 species